ACCCGCCUGGCUCAGUCGGCAGAGCGUGAGACUCCUGAUCUCAGGGUUGUGAGUUCAAGCCCCAUGUUGGGUG
rfam:Canis lupus familiaris chromosome 15, whole genome shotgun sequence.